CCUACGGGAGGCAGCAGUGAGGAAUAUUGGUCAAUGGCCGUAAGGCUGAACCAGCCAAGUCGCGUGAAGGAAGAAGGAUCUAUGGUUUGUAAACUUCUUUUAUAGGGGAAUAAAGGUAUCCACGUGUGGAUAUUUGCAUGUACCCUAUGAAUAAGCAUCGGCUAACUCCGUGCCAGCAGCCGCGGUAAUACGGAGGAUGCGAGCGUUAUCCGGAUUUAUUGGGUUUAAAGGGUGCGUAGGUUGUUUUUUAAGUCAGCGGUGAAAGUUUGUGGCUCAACCAUAAAAUUGCCGUUGAAACUGGAAGACUUGAGUGUGUUUGAGGUAGGCGGAAUGCGUGGUGUAGCGGUGAAAUGCAUAGAUAUCACGCAGAACUCCGAUUGCGAAGGCAGCUUACUAAGCCAUAACUGACACUGAAGCACGAGAGCGUGGGGAGCAAACAGGAUUAGAUACCCGUGUAGUC
rnacentral:rRNA from 1 species